GUGAUCUCCUCGUCAAGAAGGUCAUAAGGCAAGGAAUCCGGGACGUCAAGUGGACACGCCGGAGGUGAUACCCGCGGAAAAGGUGUGCUUUGAAGUGUAAAGGAUGCGUUUGAUGUGUACAAAUAAAUCUCUCUCGGAUGAUGAUCAAGCACCUUGUCAAGAACCGAACACGCAAAUUGAAGCUUCCGCAUGAAUAUAAUUUUGUCUAAACUU
rnacentral:lncRNA from 1 species